AGUACACUCUCCAUAGACCCACCUCCUCUUUUCCAAGUCCGUGAGUGACUUAUUUCUCUCUACUAGUAAAAUAACCAGUCUCUAAAAUAUUAAUUCCUAGUAGAGCAUGGAGAUACAUGCUGGAGUUUCUGACGACUGAGGCAGGAGGAUAGUGAGUCUCAGGCCAGCCCAGGACAAACCACUACAAGACAGAAGAAGGCUAUUCUGUUUUCUUUUCAGAUGACUCAUUCCAAAAGGAGAAGUGACUGCACUUCUCCUGAAACCUGCAUUCGCCACCUCUCUGAGAUGGGGUGCCCAGAAGAACCCAGCCAACAACACACAGCAAACCUGUGACAGAGGACCAGGCAGAGCCACAGUGGAAGGUGUGCAGCAAAGAUCACACAUGCUUCAAAAACGGAAGGCAGAGAAACUGCUGCAGUCUGACCGAGAGCAGAGGCUGGCUGUGGUGGUGAAGACCUGAAAUUCCAGCAUCCAGAAGGCUGAGGAAAGAGGCUCUUGAGUUCCAGGAUAGCCUGGGCUACACAGUAGGGGAGGGGGGGUCAGGGAGCUGACCAACCAAGUACAAGGGGGCUUGGAUGCAAAUCUUUUUUUUUCCUUUGCAUGUAUUUGCUUUAGUUAGAAAGGACAUUAGACGCGUCUGUAGACAGGUUCCAGUAGUGUAUCAGGCUUAGCCCGACUCCUUCCUCCUCUGGAUCUGAUCCUAUACUGUGGUCAUGGGGGAAUGCCAAGCUGUUAGAAGUCUUUGCCCUAGUUUAGGAGGGAGGAGCCAUUCACAGCAGCUUAUUCAAAAAUCAGUUUAGGAGGCAAGAAAAGGCAGAGGGAGAGAGGGAGGGGAAGAUGACAAACAAAACUAAUGAAUUAUUGACAUUUUGGAAUAUUUUGGGGUGGGUGUAAUUUUUGUGACAUUUCUUUAAGCCUGAAGAUGGACUUAUUUUCGUUUUGUUGUUUGUUUUUGCCUUAUACAGCUUUUCUGAUUCAGUCUCCACUGGGACUGCUAACUGGACUCACACUUUGAAAACAAGCCUUGUUCUAGGAGCCAGGCUUCUGAAAACCCAACCACCUGGAGCACAACGGAACCGAGCACUAAAACAGGUGGACGGAGGAGUCUGACGAGCGCCCCCUGCUGGCUGAAGGGAGCAUCUCCCAGGUCCAGGACCACGCGGUUCCGCUGGCGUCCAGCUACUGUCCAUCACCAGGUAUGUCUCUGUGAAUGUGAGCAAGUACCCCUUCCUCCUGC
rnacentral:lncRNA from 1 species